rnacentral:sRNA from 1 species
UCAGUCAAUUCAAUUCUUCCCAGACAGGGGCGGAGGAACCACACACGGCGCUUGGGGGCGCCUUGGGGUGAAGUUCUGUCAGCACAUCGAAGGCACAUUGUUUGCCGCUGACCGAACCGAGUGAACUCUCUCUCGAAUCCGACAGCUAACUUCGCAGGCGCAUAUGAGAGGACCU